CCUACGGGUGGCAGCAGUGAGGAAUAUUGGUCAAUGGGCGCUAGCCUGAACCAGCCAAGUAGCGUGAAGGAUGACUGCCCUAUGGGUUGUAAACUUCUUUUAUAGGGGAAUAAAGUGCAGUAUGUAUACUGCUUUGCAUGUACCUUAUGAAUAAGGAUCGGCUAACUCCGUGCCAGCAGCCGCGGUAAUACGGAGGAUCCGAGCGUUAUCCGGAUUUAUUGGGUUUAAAGGGAGCGUAGGCGGGUUGUUAAGUCAGGUGUGAAAGUUUGCGGCUCAACCGUAAAAUUGCAGUUGAUACUGGCAUACUUGAGGAAAGUAGAGGUAGGGUGAAUUCGUGGUGUAGCGGGGAAAUGCUGUGAUAUCACGAAGAACUCCGAUUGCGAAGGCAGCCUGCUGGACUGUAACCGACGCCGAUGCUCGAAAGGGUGGGUAUCAAACAGGAUUAGAUACCCUUGUAGUC
rnacentral:rRNA from 1 species